UCUCACUAUAAGUUUUUGUUCAACCAAACCUAAUAUACCACCCUCUCCCUGGCCUUUUGCACAUCAAGUGAUCUUCUAGGUCCCAGAGUUAGCUGGUGGCAGAGGCAGGACUAGAACCCAGAUCUUCUAACUCCCAACCCUGUGCUCCUUCCAAUACACUACUGCCUGAUAUAUUUUACAGAUGAUGGUGACAGAAAUCAUAAUGGCAGCCACUACUAACUACUCAAGGCCAGGGUCAGCAGUAAAUGUUUUACAUGAAUGAUUGCAUUGAAUCCUCAGAAUUACUGACCUACAAAGUAAAUAAGGAAACAGAGGCUCAGAAAAAUUAAGCAACUUCUCCAAGACUCAACUGCAGAAUCUUCUCGGGCCAUUACUCCCUCGGAGAGAAGCAAAUCCUUCAUAGGGAAUGCUGGAUGUGCCUGUGACAAACUGUCAACCAAAGAAAACAGAAGGAUGAAGUGAAACCAAGAGGCUAGCUGCUGACAAACGCAUGGCAUCAUUCAUGUGCAGGGCCCUCAGGGAAGAACAGCAGGCUGCUCACUGGUGGGAAAGCCUGAAGACAAAACUCCAUGGGUGUGGAAAAACCCAACACAAGAAUUCUGACAAAGAUCUGGGGAACACUAAGGACAGACAGUGCAUUAUAAAAGAAAAGGAGAUCCAGAGGGUCUUAGUAGAUAAAGCAUCCUGUACGGCUAGCCAGCUCAGUAGACUGAAUUGGGUGUAUUUCCCAUUACAGAUAAAUAAAGUAGGUAUAUCAAUCAACCUAAGUCUACUUGACAUCAGUCCCUGAUCAACUUGAGGUGAAUAAAUGAGGACCAGAUCCUUGAUCCAAAGGAGUUAAGACCCAAUCUAUUUGUAAGGCUCUGCCUAAGCAUCCAGAAGGCUUGUUCUCGAUAUCUCUUUGGCUACGAUCAACCAGCAAAUGCCCAUGUAACUAUGAACACCACAAGAAAAUAAUGAGUUAGUUUCCCCGGUAUCCUUGAACUUCACUGUUAUCUCAAGUUUGUGGAAAGUUACAUGGAAGAAAAGAAAAGAUUCUUUUUCAAAGACCCGGUCACUUCCUAAGGGACUGAAGGUCAUUUUCUAUUGCUAGAGGUGCUGCCCUGCAGAGUGCCCCAGGAUCUCAUGUUGAAGGGACCAAGCUGCCCUGAAGGCAGGUGUUUUUCCUGGGAUUCUUGGACUGGAGUUGGUAUUUCCUCAAAAUUCUAAUGAGAUGCUUGGACGUGGCUGGGGAUGUUCUGCAUAGUGAUGGAGCCACAGAACAUGCAAUCAGAAGAGUCUGAAACAAUGUAUCCCACAUUUGCAGGCAAACAUGGGGUGUGUUUACUGAGUACUUAGCAAUUAUUAAACAUAAGCAAUUCCAAUAAUAAUUAUAUUAAGGCAUUAAAAAAUUAACCAAUGGCAUCUUACCUGUAACAACCUGAGUCGCUGUUCAUUGUUGAAUCUUUCCACUGCAGCCCAGAACCACCGAAUUACAAUAUGAUUGUCAUGAUAUCCUAUUAAACCAAUCAGGAAAGCCCA